ACCUUCUUUACUGAUGGUUCAUUAAAGAAUGAUGAAUGGGUUUUCAGGCGUCUGUCUGACACAUGUCGUCCUCCAUUGUUACGCAUGACAUGUUACCCAACUGACU